rnacentral:rRNA from 1 species
GUGGGGAAUAUUGGACAAUGGGCGCAAGCCUGAUCCAGCCAUGCCGCGUGAGUGAUGAAGGCCCUAGGGUUGUAAAGCUCUUUCACCGGAGAAGAUAAUGACGGUAUCCGGAGAAGAAGCCCCGGCUAACUUCGUGCCAGCAGCCGCGGUAAUACGAAGGGGGCUAGCGUUGUUCGGAAUUACUGGGCGUAAAGCGCACGUAGGCGGACAUUUAAGUCAGGGGUGAAAUCCCGGGGCUCAACCCCGGAACUGCCUUUGAUACUGGGUGUCUGGAGUAUGGAAGAGGUAAGUGGAAUUCCGGGUGUAGAGGUGAAAUUCGUAGAUAUUCGGAGGAACACCAGUGGCGAAGGCGGCUUACUGGUCCAUUACUGACGCUGAGGUGCGAAAGCGUGGGGAGCAAACAGGAUUAGAAACCCUAGUAGUCC